rnacentral:rRNA from 1 species
UCAAGAAACUUCCACAAUGGGCGAAAGCCUGAUGGAGCGACGUCGCGUGAUGGACGAAGUGCUUCGGCACGUAAACAUCUUUUAUGUGGGAUGAAAUUAUUGACAGUACCACAUGAAUAAGGGGCUCCUAACUCUGUGCCAGCAGGAGCGGUAAUACAGAGGCCCCAAGCGUUAUCCGGAAUCACUGGGCGUAAAGGGUGUCGAGGCGGUUGUAUUAGUCGUUCGUAAAAUCUACGAGCUUAACUUGUAGGCGGCGAACGAAACGGUACGACUUGAGGUUUGGAGAGGUGCGUGGAACUCACGGUGUAGGGGUGAAAUCCGUUGAUAUCGUGGGGAACACCAAAGGCGAAGGCAGCGCACUGGCCAAAAUCUGACGCUCACACACGAAAGCUAGGGUAGCGAAUCGGAUUAGAUACCCGAGUAGUCCCUGAGCGGGCUGGCAAGGCGCAU